rnacentral:rRNA from 1 species
AAAGUGAAUAGUGAAACCUGGUGGCUCAACCAUACAGACUAUUAUUCAAACUCACUAACUCGAGAAUGGUAGAGGUAACUGGAAUUUCUUGUGUAGGAGUGAAAUCCGUAGAUAUAAGAAGGAACACCAAUGGCGUAGGCAGUCUACUGGCUCAUUUCUGACACUAAGGCACGAAAGCGUGGGGAGCGAACGGGAUUAGAUACCCCGGUAGUCCACGCCGUAAACGAUGGAUGCUA